AACGAACGCUGGCGGCAUGCCUAACACAUGCAAGUCGAACGAGACCUUCGGGUCUAGUGGCGCACGGGUGCGUAACGCGUGGGAACCUGCCCUUAGGUUCGGAAUAACUCCCCGUAAGGGGUGCUAAUACCGGAUAAUGUCUUCGGACCAAAGAUUUAUCGCCUUUGGAUGGGCCCGCGUUGGAUUAGCUAGUUGGUAGGGUAAAAGCCUACCAAGGCGACGAUUCAUAGCUGGUCUGAGAGGAUGAUCAGCCACACUGGGACUGAGACACGGCCCAGACUGCUACGGGAGGCAGCAGUGGGGAAUAUUGGACGAUGAGCGAAAGCCUGAUCCAGCAAUGCCGCGUGAGUGAUGAAGGCCUUAGGGUUGUAAAGCUCUUUUACCCGGGAUGAUAAUGACAGUACCGGGAGAAUAAGCUCCGGCUAACUCCGUG
rnacentral:rRNA from 1 species